ACGGAGGGUGCAAGCGUUAUCCGGAAUCAUUGGGUUUAAAGGGUCCGUAGGCGGAUUGAUAAGUCAGGGGUGAAAUCCCACAGCUCAACUGUGGAACUGCCUUUGAUACUGUUAGUCUUGAAUUAUAUGGAAGUAGAUAGAAUAUGUAGUGUAGCGGUGAAAUGCUUAGAGAUUACAUAGAAUACCGAUUGCGAAGGCAGUCUACUACGUAUAUAUUGACGCUAAUGGACGAAAGCGUGGGGAGCGAACAGG
rnacentral:rRNA from 1 species